GGGAAGGGAAGAUUUAAGACAAUGAUGGAGCAGGAUUGUGGGAUCAAGCCCCACAUCGGGUGAGCCCCAUGUCGGGUGCUGCUGAUCUGGAGCCUGCUUCAGAUUCUCUCUCUCUCUCUUCCUCUGCCUCUCUCUGCUGCUUGCAUGGUCUCUCUUUAAAGUAAAAAGAUAAAAAAGUAAGACAGUGUUAGUAUAUAUGCCAUGUAAGGGUUUUUCUGCUACAAUUAACUUACAUAAAUGUAUGCAUAUAUACAUACAUCACAUUUCGUCUUUAUGUAACUUCAAACUUACCCUACUUAUCAAACACUGAAUUUGGUGAUAUCACAUCUUCUGGUGUGUUGAGGCAAUUAAUACAGUAACUGCUUCCAGAAAACUGCAUACAAAAUUUAGAAUGAAGUGUGACAAGAAAUUUCAGGAUCCUGGCAGUUGUUUGGAAGAAUUCGGAGCCAUGCCCACAGGUCAUUGCUAAAAAGAGAUGCACCUGUGCACAAAGAUGCUUUCAGCAGAAAACCAAUACUUUUAAAUUUUUGCAGAAAAAAAUGUACUCUACUCAGUUUUGUAUCUUUCUUUUUGCUGCAUAAAUCAGAUGUUUCAUGUCCCUUCCAUGCUUGACGCAGGAUGAUACAUUCAGAUGCUCUGUCCAUCAUCAAUUCUCUAACCACCAAUGGAUUGGAACCAAAAUGCCCGCUGCUUCAGUUUCAGGGGGAUUUAUUUUGUCAACUUUUCCAGGUUUCCGAAAAACCAGCUCCAGAAUAGAACUGAGAGCCCAGUCACGCAGCUGCAAGGAAGUGAAUUCUGCCAACAACCACAGGAGCUUAGAAGCGAACUCGGAUAAGAGUUCAAAGGUCUCAGCUGAGGCCACAGCCCUGGCCGAUCCCUGAAUUGUAGCCUUGUGAGACCCUAGGGGACAGAACCCAGCCAAGCUGUACCCAGACUCUUGACCCAUGGAAACCGCAUGAUGAUAAAUGGAUGCUGUUUGAAGCUA